rnacentral:misc_RNA from 1 species
GAUGAAGAACGCAGCGAAAUGCGAUACGUAAUGUGAAUUGCAGAAUUCAGUGAAUCAUCGAAUCUUUGAACGCAUAUUGCGCUCUCUGGUAUUCCGGAGAGCAUGCUUGUUUGAGUAUCAGUAAACACCUCAACUUCCAUAUCUUUUUUGAAAUGGGAGUUGGACUUGAGUGAUCCCAACGCUUUUCCUCACCGAAAAGUGGCGGGUUACUUGAAAUGCAAGUGCAGCUGGACUUUUCUCUGAGCUAUAAGCAUAUCUAUUUAGUCUGCCUAAAAAACAGAUUAUUACCUUUGCUGCAGCUAACAUAAAGGAGGA